rnacentral:rRNA from 1 species
UAAGGAAUCUUUCGCAAUGGGGGCAACCCUGACGAAGCAACACCGCGUGGAGGAUGAAGGCGUUUUCGUUGUAAACUCCUUUUCUGAGGGAAUAAUUUUGAAGGUACCUCAGGAAUAAGCAUCGGCUAACUACGUGCCAGCAGCCGCGGUAAGACGUAGGAUGCAAGCGUUAUCCGGAAUUAUUGGGCGUAAAGCGUUCGUAGGUGGUUUGUUAAGUAGGAUGUUAAAUCCCUGGGCUCAACUCAGGUCUUAUGUCCUAAACUGGCAGGCUAGAGACAGGUAGGGGCAGAUAGAAUUCUGUAUGUAGGGGUAAUAUCCGUAGAUAUACAGAGGAAUACCAAAAGCGAAGGCAGUCUGCUGGACCUGUUCUGACACUCAAGAACGAAAGCGUGGGGAGCAAACGGG